UGUUGCCUCGGCGGGAUCUCUGCCCCGGGUGCGUCGCAGCCCCGGACCAAGGCGCCCGCCGGAGGACCAACCAAAACUCUUAUUGUAUACCCCCUCGCGGGUUUUUUUUUUAUAAUCUGAGCCUUCUCGGCGCCUCUCGUAGGCGUUUCGAAAAUGAAUCAAAACUUUCAACAACGGAUCUCUUGGUUCUGGCAUCGAUGAAGAACGCAGCGAAAUGCGAUAAGUAAUGUGAAUUGCAGAAUUCAGUGAAUCAUCGAAUCUUUGAACGCACAUUGCGCCCGCCAGUAUUCUGGCGGGCAUGCCUGUCCGAGCGUCAUUUCAACCCUCGAACCCCUCCGGGGGGUCGGCGUUGGGGAUCGGCCCUCCCUUAGCGGGUGGCCGUCUCCGAAAUACAGUGGCGGUCUCGCCGCAGCCUCUCCUGCGCAGUAUUUGCACACUCGCAUCGGGAGCGCGGGGCGUCCAAAGCCGUUAAACACCCAACUUCUGAAAUGUUGACC
rnacentral:rRNA from 1 species